UCGGGAAUUUUGCACAAUGGCCGAAAGGCUGAUGCAGCAACGCCGCGUGAGCGAAGAAGGCCUUCGGGUUGUAAAGCUCUGUUGCCUGCGAAGAAGGGCCCUGUCAGGAAAUGGGCGGGGUUUGACGGUAGCAGGCGAGGAAGCCCCGGCAAACUACGUGCCAGCAGCCGCGGUAAUACGUAGGGGGCGAGCGUUGUCCGGAAUUACUGGGCGUAAAGGGCGUGUAGGCGGCCUGUUAAGUCAGGGGUGAAAGACCGGGGCUCAACCCCGGGGGUGCCUCUGAAACUGGCGGGCUUGAGUGCUCUAGAGGGCAGUGGAAUUCCCGGUGUAGCAGUGAAAUGCGUAGAGAUCGGGAGGAACACCAGUGGCGAAGGCGGCUGCCUGGGGAGUCACUGACGCUGAGGCGCGAAAGCUAGGGGAGCAAACAG
rnacentral:rRNA from 1 species